AGUUUCUUGCUUUAGGAAGCGGAAGACUAAUGACCGAAGCUUCAAGACUUUGACAUGUGUGAAAACAUGAAAUGACCCUUGGCUCUUAUUGUUCUUGCUGGUGUGGUAUGUUCACGGCUGAAAAGAUGGUCAGAAGGGGAAAGGAGGAAGUGAGAAGAAAGAAACAGGGAAAUGGAACUGACUCAGCGCAAGAAGACAGCUUCGACUCCUUGUGAUUUCAUCCCUAACCAAUCAGCACUCCUGGCUCACUGGCUUCCCCCAACCCACCAAAUUGUCCUUAAAAACUCUGCUCUCCAAACGCUGGGGGAGACUGAUUUGAGUAAUAAUAAAACCCUGGUCUCCUGCA
ensembl:lncRNA PCED1B-AS1 PCED1B antisense RNA 1